CCUACGGGAGGCUGCAGUGGGGAAUAUUGGACAAUGGGCGAAAGCCUGAUCCAGCCAUGCCGCGUGUGUGAAGAAGGCCUUCGGGUUGUAAAGCACUUUCAGUGGGGAAGAAAGCCUUGGGGCUAAUACCCUCGAGGAAGGACAUCACCCACAGAAGAAGCACCGGCUAACUCCGUGCCAGCAGCCGCGGUAAUACGGAGGGUGCGAGCGUUAAUCGGAAUUACUGGGCGUAAAGCGCGCGUAGGCGGUCUGAUAAGCCGGUUGUGAAAGCCCCGGGCUCAACCUGGGAACGGCAUCCGGAACUGUCAGGCUAGAGUGCAGGAGAGGAAGGUAGAAUUCCCGGUGUAGCGGUGAAAUGCGUAGAGAUCGGGAAGAAUACCAGUGGCGAAGGCGGCCUUCUGGACUGACACUGACGCUGAGGUGCGAAAGCGUGGGUAGCAAACAGGAUUAGAUACCCGAGUAGUC
rnacentral:rRNA from 1 species